GUUAAAACACUGGUCCCUGUAUGAUCACUGAAAUUAAGCAUUGUUGAGUCUGGUCAGUACCUAGAUGAGUGACUGCUUGGGAAUACCAGGUACUGUAAG
rnacentral:rRNA from 1 species